AGAGUUUGAUCCUGGCUCAGAUUGAACGCUGGCGGCAUGCUUUACACAUGCAAGUCGAACGGCAGCAUAGAGAGCUUGCUCUCUGAUGGCGAGUGGCGAACGGGUGAGUAAUACAUCGGAACGUGUCCGUUUGUGGGGGACAACCACCCGAAAGGGUGGCUAAUACCGCAUAAGACCUGAGGGUGAAAGCCGGGGACCGCAAGGCCUGGCGCGAACGGAGCGGCCGAUGACUGAUUAGCUGGUUGGCGGGGUAACGGCCCACCAAGGCGACGAUCAGUAGCUGGUCUGAGAGGACGACCAGCCACACUGGAACUGAGACACGGUCCAGACUCCUACGGGAGGCAGCAGUGGGGAAUUUUGGACAAUGGGGGCAACCCUGAUCCAGCCAUGCCGCGUGCGGGAAGAAGGCCUUCGGGUUGUAAACCGCUUUUGUCAGGGACGAAAAGGUGCGGGUUAAGAGCUAGCACUGAUGACGGUACCUGAAGAAUAAGCACCGGCUAACUACGUGCCAGCAGCCGCGGUAAUACGUAGGGUGCGAGCGUUAAUCGGAAUUACUGGGCGUAAAGCGUGCGCAGGCGGUUGGGUAAGACAGAUGUGAAAUCCCCGGGCUUAACCUGGGAACUGCAUUUGUGACUGUCCGACUGGAGUAUGUCAGAGGGGGGUGGAAUUCCAAGUGUAGCAGUGAAAUGCGUAGAUAUUUGGAAGAACACCGAUGGCGAAGGCAGCCCCCUGGGGCAAAACUGACGCUCAUGCACGAAAGCGUGGGGAGCAAACAGGAUUAGAUACCCUGGUAGUCCACGCCCUAAACGAUGUCUACUGGUUGUUGGAGGGUAAAACCUU
rnacentral:rRNA from 1 species